GGCCGCUUGGCCCAAUGGUAAGGCGUCUGACUACGAUCGGGUGUGGUAAAACACGCUUGACAAGCAAUCAGGAGAUUCUGGGUUCGAGCCCCAGGGUGGUCA